UUCACAAAACAAUCGGUGCUGAAACGUGCCGCUUAAACGAACAGAAAUGAUCAAUGAUUUUGCUCAAAAUACUCUUCAGCUGCUCGUUUAUAACGUGAGGAUUCUUCAAAAAGACGUCCAGAUCGACAGGACAAAGUUUGUCACCCACAUUUACAUUUUUUCAACGUAAUUAUUGAUCAAUAUUGACAAACAGUAAAUCUUUUAAAAGCUCCAAGUCUCAAGAUUUGAUAUCUGAACGAUAUUUUAUGAUAGCGAAGUUACAGCAAUAGCUUCGCUUUAAUUUGUGUCAGAAGUGAGUUCAGUUACAGAACUGUACCAGAGACCGUUUAGCAGAGACGGGGCCACUUGUAUUAAAAUGAAUGGGAGAAUUUAGCACGGCCAACGGAUGUGGAAAAAGAAGUCCCGCCUUACAGGUACAAGAACCAAUCACCUUUUAGAUUCAGACCGCCUAUCAGUCAACUAGAGAACGCGCAUGCGCAGGAGAUGAACCAGCUUGGGGAAAAAACAGCGUUUCUUUAGCGUGAUCUGAGCGAAAGUAGCACAAUUUAUUAUUUAUGAUACAAUUGUUGUCAGAUUUUAUUGCCGAUUUUAAAUAUGUUAUUUAAUCAUAAUCUUGACCAACCAUUGUGGAGAUUUUGGUCUUUCCUCAUUGCCCGGAGGCCUUCCAAAGAUGGCCGCCGAGUGGACUGACUUGCCUUGAAAGGAACUUUAGCUUUUGUUCACAUGCGUGUUGCUGCUGCUGCUGCCAUCUGCUGGUGAGAAACAUGACGCGCAUCUGCUGCAGUUUUGAGUUCAGUGGCAGCAGGUCAAACUGAGCUGAACACAAUUCCUAUAGAAAACCAGAUGUCUCAAAAAAAUGUUUUAACUUGGAAAAGUGUAAAAAAAAAAAAAACACCUUAGUCUAUAAGUGACUUAGAAGAUAUACAAUGCACUGCUUUAAAAUGCAGAUUUAUUUUUUAUUUUAUUUUUUUGAAUUUUCACUCAUUUAGCUGCACUUUAAAAGCACCAAAAUUAUUAUUAUUAUUAUUAUUAUUUAUUUUUAUUUUUUUACACCAAACACUGAAUCUUUUGCUAUAAAUCUAUGAGAAAUAUCAUAAUUUAUGAAGUUACAGUCUGUGCUGUUAUGCCAUGUAUGAUUGAUUGCUAAUCAACAUAUCUGUGGUUGAGAAGAUCAUUGGUAGUACUUCUGUUUUUGUAAGUCCAGAACUCUCUGGAGCCUGAUAUUCUAAACCUGCUCCUCAAGACAUUCCACAGUUUCUACAUUGAACAUGAAGAUGCGUCUCUCGUUCUGGCCGUACUGAGGAAUCUGACGAGUGUCGGGAGAUUCGACAUGGCUGUCAUGUUCAUGUCAUCUGCAGAGAGGAAAGAUUAUUUAGCGGAGACGGGCCACUUCUAUUAAAAUAAAUGGGAGAAAUUGGAACGCCCAACCAAGAUGCUGUAGUGUCCCACGGGCAACGGAUGUAGAAAGGAAGUCCCGCCUUACAGGUAAAAGAGCCAAUCACCUUUUAGAUACAGACAUCACCUGUCAAUCAUCUCAAAAGCGUGCAUGCGCAUUAGCUAUGCAAGCUGGGAAAAAUUGGGUUUUAGGGUAAUCUGAGGUGAAGCAGCACAAUUUAUGAUACCAGCAUUGUCAGAUUUUAUUGCUGAUUUGAAAUAUGUUCUUUGAUCGUAAUCUUGACCGUUUUUGAGAUUUGGUCUUUCCCCAUUCAAGUAGACAGGAGCUGCACUGGCAUGACUGGAAAUAACCUCCUGACAGCGUUCCAAAGAUGACAGUGGAUGAAUGCAGCAAGCGAUGUCGGAAGAUGUUAUCCUCAACCACUAAUCUAGUGUCAGUGGGAGUUUUUACGUUUCACUUAUCGUUAAGGUGUGGAUUUGGCUUUGGGAAACUGACCAGCAGUUAUGUGCCACUUUAUCCUGAAGCAGAAAUCGAAAGCAACAGGCAAUGUGUCGCUUAAGAUUCCAAAAGGAAUAUUUGCUAAUUCUCACGGUCUCUCCACACUCCUUUUCGAUUUCUUCUCCUUCCUCGUUCUUUGCAUUUAUGUAUAAGGUUUGCAACUUCACUAAAACAAUGUUUGAACUCCCUCAGGCCUAUUUCGCAGAUUCCCAAACCAGCAUAUCACGAAGUGCAUUUUGGGUUGCGCGAGCGGUGCUGAGCAGCCUGAGCGAGUGGAGUGGAAUCUUCAAAAAGGCACUCUCCGUUCAGGUGGAAUUAUGUCCGCGCACAUGCGCUGGAUUCAACGCGCCGGCCUGACGGACCGUUCCGUUCAAGACUUACAGAAGAAAUACGGCCUCUGACCUCUGCUCACAGGGGUUUGGAUCUCACCAGUCUAAAAAACAUCUGUGACGUUUCUUUGAAUGUGAAUGAAAUAAAUGUUUAUUAAACACG